AGUGAACGCUGGCGGUAGGCCUAACACAUGCAAGUCGAACGGCAGCACAGUAAGAGCUUGCUCUUACGGGUGGCGAGUGGCGGACGGGUGAGGAAUACAUCGGAAUCUACUUUUUCGUGGGGGAUAACGUAGGGAAACUUACGCUAAUACCGCAUACGACCUACGGGUGAAAGCAGGGGAUCUUCGGACCUUGCGCGAUUGAAUGAGCCGAUGUCGGAUUAGCUAGUUGGCGGGGUAAAGGCCCACCAAGGCGACGAUCCGUAGCUGGUCUGAGAGGAUGAUCAGCCACUCUGGAACUGAGACACGGUCCAGACUCCUACGGGAGGCAGCAGUGGGGAAUAUUGGACAAUGGGCGCAAGCCUGAUCCAGCCAUACCGCGUGGGUGAAGAAGGCCUUCGGGUUGUAAAGCCCUUUUGUUGGGAAAGAAAAGCAGCAGGUUAAGACCCCGCUGUUCUGACGGUACCCAAAGAAUAAGCACCGGCUAACUUCGU
rnacentral:rRNA from 1 species